rnacentral:rRNA from 1 species
AGUGAACGCUGGCGGUAGGCCUAACACAUGCAAGUCGAACGGCAGCACAGUAAGAGCUUGCUCUUACGGGUGGCGAGUGGCGGACGGGUGAGGAAUACAUCGGAAUCUACUUUUUCGUGGGGGAUAACGUAGGGAAACUUACGCUAAUACCGCAUACGACCUACGGGUGAAAGCAGGGGAUCUUCGGACCUUGCGCGAUUGAAUGAGCCGAUGUCGGAUUAGCUAGUUGGCGGGGUAAAGGCCCACCAAGGCGACGAUCCGUAGCUGGUCUGAGAGGAUGAUCAGCCACACUGGAACUGAGACACGGUCCAGACUCCUACGGGAGGCAGCAGUGGGGAAUAUUGGACAAUGGGCGUAAGCCUGAUCCAGCCAUACCGCGUGGGUGAAGAAGGCCUUCGGGUUGUAAAGCCCUUUUGUUGGGAAAGAAAAGCAGCAGGUUAAUACCCCGCUGUUCUGACGGUACCCAAAGAAUAAGCACCGGCUAACCUCGUG